rnacentral:rRNA from 1 species
UACGUAGGGUGCAAGCGUUGUCCGGAAUUAUUGGGCGUAAAGGGCGUGUAGGCGGCCCGAUUAGUCCGCUGUGAAAGUUCAGGGCUCAACCCUGGAAUGCCGGUGGAUACUGUCGGGCUAGAGUCCGGAAGGGGCGAGUGGAAUUCCUGGUGUAGCGGUGAAAUGCGCAGAUAUCAGGAGGAACACCAAUGGCGAAGGCAGCUCGCUGGGACGUGACUGACGCUGAGACGCGAAAGCGUGGGGAGCAAACAGG